rnacentral:rRNA from 1 species
UACGUAGGGUGCAAGCGUUGUCCGGAAUUAUUGGGCGUAAAGAGCUCGUAGGCGGUCUGUCGCGUCGGCUGUGAAAACCUGGGGCUUAACUCCGGGCCUGCAGCCGAUACGGGCAGACUAGAGUUCGGCAGGGGAGACUGGAAUUCCUGGUGGAGCGGUGAAAUGCGCAGAUAUCAGGAGGAACACCGGUGGCGAAGGCGGGUCUCUGGGCCGAAACUGACGCUGAGGAGCGAAAGCGUGGGGAGCAAACAGG